AACGAACGCUGGCGGCAUGCCUAACACAUGCAAGUCGAACGAGACCUUCGGGUCUAGUGGCGCACGGGUGCGUAACGCGUGGGAACCUGCCCUUAGGUUCGGAAUAACUUCCCGAAAGGGAUGCUAAUACCGGAUAAUGUCUUCGGACCAAAGAUUUAUCGCCUUCGGAUGGGCCCGCGUAGGAUUAGCUUGUUGGUGGGGUAAUGGCCUACCAAGGCGACGAUCCUUAGCUGGUCUGAGAGGAUGAUCAGCCACACUGGGACUGAGACACGGCCCAGACUCCUACGGGAGGCAGCAGUGGGGAAUAUUGGACAAUGGGCGAAAGCCUGAUCCAGCAAUGCCGCGUGAGUGAUGAAGGCCUUAGGGUUGUAAAGCUCUUUUACCAGGGAUGAUAAUGACAGUACCUGGAGAAUAAGCUCCGGCUAACUCCGUGCCAGCCGCCGCCGUAAUAC
rnacentral:rRNA from 1 species